UAACGUCGCAAGACCAAAGAGGGGGACCUUCGGGCCUCUUGCCAUCGGAUGUGCCCAGAUGGGAUUAGCUAGUAGGUGGGGUAACGGCUCACCUAGGCGACGAUCCCUAGCUGGUCUGAGAGGAUGACCAGCCACACUGGAACUGAGACACGGUCCAGACUCCUACGGGAGGCAGCAGUGGGGAAUAUUGCACAAUGGGCGCAAGCCUGAUGCAGCCAUGCCGCGUGUAUGAAGAAGGCCUUCGGGUUGUAAAGUACUUUCAGCGGGGAGGAAGGGAGUAAAGUUAAUACCUUUGCUCAUUGACGUUACCCGCAGAAGAAGCACCGGCUAACUCCGUGCCAGCAGCCGCGGUAAUACGGAGGGUGCAAGCGUUAAUCGGAAUUACUGGGCGUAAAGCGCACGCAGGCGGUUUGUUAAGUCAGAUGUGAAAUCCCCGGGCUCAACCUGGGAACUGCAUCUGAUACUGGCAAGCUUGAGUCUCGUAGAGGGGGGUAGAAUUCCAGGUGUAGCGGUGAAAUGCGUAGAGAUCUGGAGGAAUACCGGUGGCGAAGGCGGCCCCCUGGACGAAGACUGACGCUCAGGUGCGAAAGCGU
rnacentral:rRNA from 1 species